GCGAACGCUGGCGGCAGGCCUAACACCUGCCAGUCGAACGAACCUUUCGGGGUUAGUGGCGGACGGGUGAGUAACACGUGGGAACGUGCCUUUAGGUUCGGAAUAACUCAGGGAAACUUGUGCUAAUACCGAAUGUGCCCUUCGGGGGAAAGAUUAAUCGCCUUUAGAGCGGCCCGCGUCUGAUUAGCUAGUUGGUUGAGGUAAUGGCUCACCAAGGCGACGAUCAGUAGCUGGUCUGAGAGGAUGAUCAGCCACAUUGGGACUGAGACACGGCCCAAACUCCUACGGGAGGCAGCAGUGGGGAAUCUUGCGCAAUGGGCGAAAGCCUGACGCAGCCAUGCCGCGUGAAUGAUGAAGGGCUUAGGAUUGUAAAAUUCUUUCACCGGGGACGAUAAUGACGGUACCCGGAGAAGAAGCCCCGGCUAACUUCGUG
rnacentral:rRNA from 1 species